CCGAUGGGAGAAUCAAGUCCCAGGAGACGAGCAAGAUCUUCGGAACACCAAGUGCGUGGGCCAUUUAUUGCAAGAAGAUAGUCAAUCCAGAUAAGAAGUCGGGCUGCGGCUGGGCGUCUGUUCGCUACCGAGGGAAGAAGCUAGAUUCCUACAAGAACAAUUGGUACAGGCAGAAGAGGAUUGAAUUUGAGAAGGAAGGCGAGGCAUUGGAUGAAGAAGAGAG